rnacentral:rRNA from 1 species
CCAGCAGCCGCGGUAAUUCCAGCUCCAAUAGCGUAUAUUAAAGUUGUUGUGGUUAAAAAGCUCGUAGUUGGAUCUCAACAGCCUUGAAGCGGUUAACUUUGUAGUUUUACUGCUUUAUAGGCUGUGCUUUUGCUGGAGGUUUAGGGGUGCUCUUGAUCGAGUGUCUCUGGAUGCCAGCAGGUUUACUUUGAAAAAAUUAGAGUGCUCAAAGCAGGCUAAAAUGCCUGAAUAUUCGUGCAUGGAAUAAUAGAAUAGGAUGUCGAUCCUAUUUUGUUGGUUUUCGGGACUCGACAUAAUGAUAAAUAGGGACAGUCGGGGGCAUUUGUAUUCAAACGACAGAGGUGAAAUUCUUGGACCGUUUGAAGACAAACUACUGCGAAAGCAUUUGCCAAGAAUGUUUUCAUUAAUCAAGAACGAAAGUUAGAGGUUCGAAGGCGAUUAGAUACCGCCCUAGUUCUAACCAUAAACGAUGCCAGCUAGCGAUCUGCCUGCGUUUUUACUGUAGACUGGGCAGGAAGCUUCCGGGAAACCAAAGCAUUUGGGUUCCAGGGGAAGUAUGGUUGCAAAGCUGAAACUUAAAGGAAUUGACGGAAGGGCACCACCAGGAGUGGAGCCUGUGGCUUAAUUUGACUCAACACGGGAAAUCUCACCAGGCCCGGACACUGGAAGGAUUGACAGAUUGAUAGCUCUUUCUUGAUUCGGUGGGUGGUGGUGCAUGGCCGUUCUUAGUUGGUGGAGUGAUUUGUCUGGUUAAUUCCGAUAACGAACGAGACUCUGUCCUGCUAAAUAGUUUCUACUUCUCUUUUGAGUAGAAAUUUCUUCUUAGAGGGACUGGUGACUCUUAGUCACACGAGAUUGAGCAAUAACAGGUCUGUGAU